CCCACAAUCAUCGGUGUCAUCGUCACCCAAAUUCUGCGACAACAAAAAUACUCCCGUGCGUGCCUGUCAAAAAAACCAGAACCACGGCCAGUGACCAAGCGAAGACGAGGGAAGAGAGAUGCCGGGGCUCACGGCGCCAUCGGACUACGCGGAGGAGCCGCCGCGCCACCCGGCCCUCAGGAUCAACUCCAAGGAGCCAUUUAAUGCUGAGCCUCAUCGAUCUGCGUUAGUUUCAUCUUAUAUCACCCCAGUGGAUUUCUUCUACAAGAGGAAUCAUGGACCAAUUCCCAAAGUUGAUGAUAUCUCAAGAUACAGUGUUUCCAUCAGUGGCCUCAUUAAUAAGCAUAUCCAGCUGUCCAUGGAUGACAUUAGGAUGCUUCCGAAGUACAAUGUCACUGCAACAUUACAGUGUGCAGGCAAUAAGAGAACUGCAAUGAGUAAGGUACGGAAAGUGAGAGGUGUUGGAUGGGACGUAUCUGCUCUUGGAAAUGCAACUUGGGGUGGAGCAAAACUAUCCGAUGUCCUUGAACUAGUUGGAAUACAUAAACUCAGUUCAGUCACAUCUUUAGGAGGCAAACAUGUUGAGUUCGUCAGUGUUGACAGGUGUAAAGAGGAGAAAGGUGGCCCCUAUAAGGCAUCAAUUCCACUAAAGCAGGCAACAGAUCCUGAUGCUGAUGUGUUACUCGCAUAUGAAAUGAAUGGAGAGACCAUCAAUCGUGACCAUGGAUAUCCACUCCGUGUGGUCGUACCUGGUGUUAUAGGUGCACGCUCCGUAAAAUGGCUUGACAGCAUCAACAUAAUCAAGGAAGAAUGCCAGGGUUUUUUUAUGCAAAAAGAUUACAAGAUGUUCCCACCUACCGUAGAUUGGGACAAUAUUAAUUGGUCAACUAGAAGACCACAAAUGGAUUUUCCUGUGCAGUCUGCUAUUUGCACCCUGGAAGAUGUGGAUGUUAUCAAGGAAGGAAAGGCUAGAAUUGCUGGAUAUGCAGUCUCAGGUGGCGGCCGUGGCAUUGAGAGAGUAGAUAUAUCUGUUGAUGGGGGUAAAACAUGGGUUGAAGCUCAUAGAUGUCAGAAAAGCAAUGUGCCAUACGUCUCUGAUGGAGCUCAAAGCGACAAGUGGGCAUGGGUUCUAUUUGAGGCCACAUUGGACAUACCACCAAAUGCCGAGAUAGUAGCUAAGGCGGUGGAUUCGGCCGCAAACAUUCAACCCGAAAAAGUGGAGGACAUAUGGAAUCUGAGAGGAAUCCUCAACACAUCUUGGCAUCGGAUCAAAAUACAGAAUACAUCGUGCGUAUCUAGAUCCAAAAUGUGAAGGAAGUAUGUUGAUGUGCCUAGAACAAGCAGCACGCCGGUCCAGCUGAGUCCAUGAUAUCUCCAAAUAAUAAAGCUACUGCAGCUUAAUUUCUGUGAUUUUCGUACUCCCUCCGUUCCAAAAUAGAUGACCCAACUUUAUACUAACUUUGUACAAAAUUGAGUCAUCUAUUUUGGAACGGAGGGAGUAUGUACUUUGUCAUGGAACUGUGUUGGUUUGUUACCAGCGUUACAAAUAACUGCUUGUGUUGGCUGAUAGAAUCGCUAUGACUUGUGUUUUAGGAAUGCAUGUUUGAAGUGCUUUAAGAAUGUGUCAGCGUUGAGCAUGAACCACAAAUUUUUGGGCAUAACAGCAGGCUGUUCGAUGGAGAAUUAUCGUGGAGCAAAGUGAGCAGCCUUUGCAGCUCGGGCAGCACCUCCUUGGGGAAAAGCUUCGGAAUCUCCUCCUUCGCGAUGUUGUCAUGGACGCACCUGCGGGUCAGUAUCCUGAGGCACACCAAGAGCUGCAACAGAGAGAAGUAUAGGCAUUGAGCACAGGGCCAAGCUGCUUUUGCAAAAAUGCCUCGCACCUGGCGCAAGCAGCGGCGCGGAAGGGGGAGAGGGAGCAGAGAUGAGAAGUUGGUAGGUACGGACGGG
rnacentral:rRNA from 1 species